CUCCCGGGGCCCACGGAGACACGCCCGGCCCUGCAGCCAAACAGCAGGAAGGCAGAUUUGUACGAGCCUCCCCAAGUUCCCAGGCCCUGCUGGAGAAACCUUGUGAAAGCCCAGCCCAGGAAGGGAAUUCAUCAAGCCACCUCCAGACACAGCCUCUCCUUUGGCUUCACUCUUGGCCUUCCAGCUGUCACAUGGGCAGCUCAGCGUGGGCAAAGUCCAGGAGCUGAUGAUGUCACUUGUGUGUGAGAAGAAAUAUGGCUCUCAUAUCCUUAAAAUAGCCUGUUGCUGCCCUCCCCAUGUCAUCGAAGACUCAAACACCUUCCUCAUCCUGCUCCAGCUCUGACUCAUGGACUCCCUCACAGCACUAUUCAGAGGCCACCAAACCCUCAUCCUGCACAGAGCUGAUCUCCUGGAAAGGUGUCCUCCUCACCUCUCAGCUUGCAAACCAUCCUGGACCACUGUCUCUACCUCCCCUGCUCAGUCCCACCUAAUAAAAUCUGAAUUGUUUAAGAGAGAAAGAGGAAGAAGAACUUUAACAAAACAUCAAACACAGGGCUGGGGUUGUGGCUCAGUGGUAGAGCACUUGCCUGGCACACGUGAGGAACUGGGUUCGAUCCUCAGCACCACAAAAAAAAUGAAUAAAUAAAGGUAUUAUGUCCAUCUACAAUUAAAAAUAUAUUUUAAAAAACAUCAAACAUAAAGAACAGGUUAACAAAUCAUAUACAUUGUAUACAGCUACAUUUUGUUAAUAAAAUAAAUGUAGGGGCUAGGGGAGUAGCUCAGUGGUAGAGUACACAUUUAGCAUGAUAGAGGCCCUGGGUUUAAUCACCAGUACCAAAAGCAAUGUUUUUUUAAUUUUAUUUUUUAAUUGACACAUAGUAAUUGUACAUAUUUGUGGGCUACAGUGUGAUAUUUCAAUACAUGUUAUAAUGUAUAAUGAUCAUAUCAGGGUCAUUGGCAUGUCCAUCAACUCAGAUGUUUAUAAUUUCUAUGUAGGGAACAUUCAAAAUCUUCUUGGCUCACUAUUUUGAAAUAUACAAUUAUUGUCAACCAUAGCUCUCCUCCUGUGCUGUAGAACAUUAGAAGCCUCUCCUCUUACCCAGCUACACCCCUGUACCCAUUAACAAUCUUCUCUCCAAAUCCCCUUCUCCACACUUUUCCAUUUAAAGAUUUUACAAGGAAAUUAAGACUGUGGGAAUCAUACUAAAAUACUAAAAUUCUAAUUGCUAUUCUUGUAAGUUGAAAUGAUGAAGUUUCUUUCCUUUUCCCCAUUUUUCAAGUUAUCUGUAAUAUAGUACUUUUCAGUUGAUAUACAUAUGUAUCAAAGGGAACAUAAUUUAAAUUGCACUUUCUAAAUCAUCUCGAGCUGUGUACAGGAUGCUCAGGAUUUAUGCUGUUGGUCCAAGAAGGUGAUCGUAAUUUUAACAGAAGAUGUGAAGAAGAGCAGGUCUAUUCAAAACAAAUGUGGAUCAGA